UAUCUCUGUAGAGUCUGCAUAUCAAUAAGCGGAGGAAAAGAAACUAACUAGGAUUCCCUCAGUAACGGCGAGUGAAGCGGGAAGAGCUCAAAUUUGAAAUCUUCAAGGUUCUACCUUGACGAAUUGUAGUUUAAAGAAGUGUUUUCUGUUGGAGUUUUGGUAAAAGUUCUUUGGAAUAGGACAUCAUAGAGGGUGAGAAUCCCGUAUUUGACCAUUAUUUCCAACUUUGUGAUACACUUUCAAAGAGUCGGAUUGUUUGGGAAUGCAGUCCAAAAUGGGUGGUAAAUUUCAUCUAAAGCUAAAUACUGGCGAGAGACCGAUAGCGAACAAGUACCGUGAGGGAAAGAUGAAAAGAACUUUGAAAAGAGAGUUAAACAGUACGUGAAAUUGUCAAAAGGGAAGCGUUUGACACCGGUGUUGUUUUCUCGAAAAUCAAUUAAAAAUGGUGGGAUUUUGUGUUGUAUUGACUUUAUCAGCUUUCUGCACUUUUUUCCUGUCUUUUUUAAUGCACUUUUCGUUUAACAAGUCAACAUCAAUUUCUUUUGUUGUAAAAGGGUCAUUGGAAGGUGGCUUUCUUUUCGGAGAAAGUGUUUAUAGCCUUUGACUUCUGCAAUCGGAGAGAUUGAGGUCUGCAGCGUAGAUCCUUCGGGGUUAGAUGCAUUUGUGCUAAGUUAUAGCCUUUCAUAGACAACUUGUUGACUAUGAUCAGUCAUGUAGCUUACUCGCUUAUGUCAUUUUACCUACGCUUAGGAUGUUGAUCUCUCACAGUCGAGC
rnacentral:rRNA from 1 species